rnacentral:rRNA from 1 species
AUACGUAGGGUGCGAGCGUUGUCCGGAAUUACUGGGCGUAAAGAGCUCGUAGGUGGUUUGUCGCGUCGUCUGUGAAAUUCCGGGGCUUAACUCCGGGCGUGCAGGCGAUACGGGCAUAACUUGAGUACUGUAGGGGAGACUGGAAUUCCUGGUGUAGCGGUGAAAUGCGCAGAUAUCAGGAGGAACACCGGUGGCGAAGGCGGGUCUCGGGGCAGUAACUGACGCUGAGGAGCGAAAGCAUGGUAAGCGAACAGGAUUAGAUACCCUGGUAGUCCAUGCCGUAAACGGUGGGCGCUAGGUGUAGGGGUCUUCCACGACUUCUGUGCCGUAGCUAACGCAUUAAGCGCCCCGCCUGGGGAGUACGGCCGCAAGGCUAAAACUCAAAUGAAUUGACGGGG